GUCUGCUGUCAUGAUUGUUGAAAGGAACAUUGGGAGCUACUUCUGACUUGUCGGUUAUUGGAGAAGCAAACAUGGUUAGAACCUUUGCUCAUCCUUGACCUAUCACCUUGAUUCCUCUUUGAACUAUGAUAGCUACUUGUAUUGUUUGGGCAGUUCCGGUUGAGUAGAAACAAAAACAAGCGGUUUGGGAUGAACAUUGGGUUGCAGUGGCGUUUAAGGGACCGACAGUGUUGCAUUGUGAAUUGGUAGGAUUGAAUGGAAGAAAAUGCACUUCUUGUACACCAGCGCGUGCCUCCUUUGGAUCAUCCAGCGUCCCAACUAUGGAGGUGUCUAUUUAUUGGUGAAAAAUAGUCACAGUUGGAUUAUGAUGUAUGCUUCACAAUUGACUAUUAUAGUUGCAAUUGUGUAACUAUUCUUUGC